rnacentral:rRNA from 1 species
CAUUAUUGAACAUUGAGAGGAUGGCAUGAGGUUGUUGCUGGUCCACUUGUUUGUUUGGGGAGGGGGGGGGCAAGUGCACGCCUCGGCUGUCACAUUCUGUCCACCUGUGCACCCAUUGUAGGGAUUUCCCCAGGGUAUGAGAANAUUUUGAUCGACUUCUUGUUUCUGUGUCUGGGGGGGAACCUUAUGAUAUUUUUGAUUUACAAAUUGGAAAAUGAAUGUCAGUAGAAUGAAAGAAUAAUAAAAAUGUACAACUUUCAACAAUGGAUCUCUUGGCUCUCGCAUCGAUGAAGAACGCAGCGAAAUGCGAUAAGUAGUGUGAAUUGCAGAAUUCAGUGAAUCAUCGAAUGUUUGAACGCACCUUGCGCUCCUUGGCAGUCCUUGGAGCAUGCCUGUUUGAGUGUCGAUAAAAUUUAUCAUGACUGCCUCGAUGGGUGAAUUGAGGUGGUUUUGGACAGGUGGGGGUUGCUGGGCUCAAUUAUUUUUUUGAGGUAUGCUCUCCUGAAAAGCAUUGGCAGAGUUUGAGAUGGUUGGUCUCAAGGUGUGAUAAAGUAAAANUGAUCACCGAUCAGAAGGCAUUAAAUUACCAUCGUUUGCUCAGCCAUCAAUUUGGAUGAUUGAAUAAGUGACCUCAAAUCAGGCAGGACUACCCGCUGAACUUAAGCAUAUCAAUAAGCGGAGGAAAAGAAACUAACGAGGAUUCCCCUAGUAACUGCGAGUGAAGCGGGAAAAGCUCAAAUUUAAAAUCUGGCGGUGGUGAGCCGUCCGAAUUGUAGCCUAGAGAAGUGAUGCCUGCACUGGACCGUGUAAAAGUCUUCCUGGGAUGGAGCGUCAGAGAGGGUGAGAAUCCCGUCUUUGACACGGACUGCCAGUGCGGUGUGGCACGCUCUCGAAGAGUUGAGUUGUUUGGGAAUGCAGCUCUAAAUGGGUGGUAAACUCCAUCUAAAGCUAAAUAUUGGCGAGAGACCGAUAGCGAACAAGUACCGUGAGGGAAAGAUGAAAAGAACUUUGGAAAGAGAGUUAAACAGUAUGUGAAAUUGUUGAAAGGGAAACGUUUGAAGUCAGUCGCGUUGGUCAGGGAUCAAGCCAGCUUCAGUGAUGCUGGGUGCAUUUCCUGGUCGAUGGGUCAACAUGAGUUUUGAGUGCUGGAGAAAGACGGGGGGAAUGUGACACCGAUGGGUGUGUUAUAGCCCUCAGUCUGAUGCAGUGGUCGGGACUGAGGACAGCAGCGCGCCGCAGGGCCAGGUUUUUUA